rnacentral:tRNA from 1 species
GCUCUCGUCGUCUAAGGGUCAGGACACCGGGCCUUUCAGCCCGGGAAUGGAGGUUCAAGUCCUCCCGGGAGUA